UAGCUCAGUUGGUAGAGCAUGGUGUUUGCAACACCAGCGUUGUGGGUUCGAUUCCCAC
rfam:Salmo salar isolate Sally breed double haploid chromosome ssa22, whole genome shotgun sequence.